CUACUACUCUGGUAAAUCACAUCAGCUUUAUCAGAAUUUAGAAAAAUGAAUUAAACUACAACUUUUGAACAGUCAUUGUUUGUGAAGUUGCCUUUGUUAUCACUUGAUUAGUUUGCUUACUGUUGAAACAUGGUUUUAAUUUUGUAAAUUUAAUGAUAUGAAAUUUACUCUAUUAAUCAUUAGUUGACAGUUAAAGAGAAGCUGGAGCUUUACAUAAUAAAGGCAUUGGAAGGCUUUACUUGACUUUCUUUUUAUGGUACCUGCUGUGUUGUAACAGAUCUUAAAAAGAACUUUACGGAUGUUAACGUAGUCUUUUUUGUUGGUAACCGUAAGCAAUUAUUUAAUUACUAAUAACCCGUAUUACGGGUUGCUUACUGC
rnacentral:lncRNA from 1 species